UGACACUUGUUGCGGAGCUGCUUUAUGUUGCCAUCUUGUGGCAUUACUGUCUUCAGACAUCUCUUGAUCUCUUUGACUACUUCACGAAAAUAGUAAUACGCCUCGCCGGUGGCGGAUUUAAAGGCAAGGAGAGGAGCUUAUGUGAUUGGUGAAAACAGGUCUUGGCUGUGUUAAACCCAUUCCACGCCCUAGCUUCUCCCCCGCUCCGACUUACGCCGCUGGGAGGAGCUGAGUUAGGGAGGGGGGAUACUUACGCCGGGCUGCGCCUCAAACCAAAAUACCAAAUUGUGCUUGGGAACGCCUUGUCGGCGCAGCGGACCUCACUUACGCCGCGCCUGCAGCACGUCUCCGGCGAGGCACGAAAAUAGAGCCCCAUGUCUUUAACCUAAGAAUACGUGACCACUUCUGUAAUGACCUGCCACCGUCUGUUUUUUUUUUUCUUUUAUCAAACAGAGUGCAGUGAGUGCUCCUGCAAUGCUCUGUUUGUUUACUUUUACACUGAACACCAGUAGCUGCUUGCACGUCCUCAUCACAUGGCUUCAAAGCCUGCUGAUCUUCGGCCAUGUGUUUUAGCUUUAGGUGGUAAAACUUAGUUGAAACUAUGAUUUUUUUGUACAAACCACAUCCACACCACAGAGGUAGCUCCCUUUUUUGGCACUAGAUCCUCAUUUGAGGACAAGGUUGACACUGCUGUGCUGCUCUCGCUCGCCAAUAUUGUUGUUGUGUAUGUUUUUAUGCUUCAUUUUAUCAAGAGUUUUCCUAUGUACUUACCAGUGCCACAGAGGCUCCCAUCCUAAUGCCACUGUUUGCAUCCUGCAAGCUCCUAUCUACUGAACCACCUGACCUUGAACAACCUGAAGAUAGAAGUGAACUGAGCUGUUACCUGUAUGUUUGUACCUGUGGCUGCCAAAGCUGAAAUUAAAGGUUAUUAACAAUCAUCUCUGUUGUGUUGUUUGGCUCCAAUCACAGCCUUGCACGGAUUUCUGAUGAGCUGCACACAGAUGUGACUACACAUCAGCCAUGCAUUUUGCUGUAGACAGCAGAUGACAAUUAUUGACUGCUUAUGUGCCCUUGAGCAAUAUGCCGAUUUUCUAUCAGAAGGAUAAAAGAGAGAAGAGGAUGAAUUCCCAGCUGGAGGCGUUAAUGUCUGAGUAUCAUAACAGUUAUCUAUAAAUCAGUGGAGCAACAGCAGCAUACAGCUGUAGGUGGAUUAGAGAAGCUGCGUUGCACCUAAAGCUCAUGAUUUAACGGAGAUGCUGCUGCAUUAACAACCUUGAAUUAUCUGACACCCUGUUAGGAUAAAAGCAGCACCAAGGUGACUCGUAGUAACUAUUGUCAGAUGGUCCUCGCUUUUUCUUCAGCAAAGCGUGAAAGUGAAACGACCCACUGAAUUCUCCCAGUCCCUCAGCGCUAAAUGGAAAAUAUUACAAUGCACAGACGCCCGCCUCCAAAUUAAACAGCACAGAGGAGAGGAGGAGGAGGAAAGCAAAGGGUUAUUUGAUGCAAUGCAGGAGCAGAGCUGUUUCUAUGCAGAAAGUUGUUUGAAUAUUACCUACAGAUGCCUUCAAAUGCUCCAGAUAUCAAGUAUUCUGUUUUAGGGGGUAGACCAAAACAUUACAGCCUGCAUUACAAGUCCCACUGGGGCCACCCAUGCUACUAAUGAAUGCUUGGUAGUCAUUUGGCUCUAAUUUGCCUCUAAAUGGCCACCAAAUAGCUACUGUGUCACAUAAAUUAAGGCUUAUUUUACUGGUUAACUUGUGAAAUAAAAAGCGCCAGUGUUUCCCCGUCAGAGGGAAAACAGCAGAUAAAAACUGAUUCCUGUACAAAGUAUUUCCAACAUGUCUCUGAACCGAUUCUUCUGUCUGCAGGUCGACCUCGUUUAAGCAUCUUCACGUGUUUCAUGUUCCAAGUCAGCUUCCAUGUGGUUUGUUUAUAUCCUCAUUUGUUUGUUUGCUUGUUUGUUUGUGCCUUUGCUUCACUCUGCAGCUGAGCUAACAAGCCGCCAUUUUUGCCCGGGCCGCUGGUAUGGUCCAAUUAAAGGGUGUGAUCAGCCAGAACGCUUUAAUGAUGGCUGUGGAGCCGGAGCUGACCAGCUUAGAGAGGGAAAGAGGGAGAGAGAGAGAGAGAGAGAUGGCAUGCUGGGAGGUGGUGUCUGCAGUCGACAGUGUUGUGGCUCAGUGGAUACACUGCAGACAGCAGACAGGGUACAAUUAGACUGUAGACCCUUUAAAAGAAAGGAGGAAAAGACCAGCCACUGUUGGAGGGAAAAGUUUAUGAUGUCCAUAAUUAGAGGGGCGACAGUGGACAUCUGUCUAUCUAUCUAUCUAUAUACCUAUCUAUCUAUCUAUCCAUCUAUCUACCUAUCUAUCCAUUCAUCCAUCUAUCUAUCAAUGUCUGUCUGUCUCUAUAUCUGUCCAUCUGUUUGUCUGUCUUGUGAUAUACAUAUUUCUUUUUAAAUCAUCCACUUCCUUUCAUCAGUCCUUCAAUCUGUAAAUCAUGCUACAGUUAUUCCACCCAAUUUUAAUCCAUCCAUUCAAUAUCAUACAUUCACCCAUCUACCCCUAGAUGUGACCAUAAUCCAUUUGUUGUCUAUCUAUCCAUCCAUCAUCCACACAGCCAACUAUUAUACAUCCAUCCAUCACUUCAUACAUCCAACAUCAUCACCUUUCAUUAAUCCAGACAUCCAAAUAUCAUCCAUACCACCAUCUUUCAUCCAUAAUAUGCAUCCAACCAUCAUCCUUUCAAACAUCUGUACAUUAAACCAUCCAUCAUCUAUCAGUCUGAUUGUCUGUAAGUCCAUCCUGCUUUCUGUGAUCCCCCACCAUUCAUCUGUCCAUUUACCUUUAAGUCAAUCUUUUAACCGUCCAUCCAUCCAUCAGUCCUUCAUCUGUUACUGUUAUUUGACUAUCAAAUAUGUUAUCACCCAUCCAGUCAUUUUACCAUCCAUCCAUUAUCUAACGGUCUACUAUCAAUAUAACAAACCAUUCUUCUGACAUCCAUUUGUCCAUCUAUUCAACUAUCCUCUCAUUUUAACAGACACAAUAGACCAAAAGUUUGGAAGCAAGGCCAUUACAGGCCAAACAGUUAGGAGUAACUUCAAGUUUUUGUUCACAGUGCUUUUUUUUAAAUCCAGCAUAUGUAUUUUGGGAUGUAUGUACUCCAUGGUCAGAUGUUGCUUUCAUGGAAAUGAACCAUUUUACUCCUUUACCUUUAGAUAUACAUUGAUGUUAACAGACCAUUGCUAAAUAUAUGUCAGCAAAAGAUAAUAAGGGCUUAGUUUUAGGGUUGAAAACAUUUGCAAGAGUCACAACUUCAGUGCAAAAGCAAAAAAACAAAUCACAGUUGUAUUAUUCACUUCAACUUUUUGGCUUUUGAGAGUCUGCAUACAAAAAUCCUAAUAAAUCUCAACUGCGUUCAAACUAACACAAAAAUGGCUAGAAAGAGGCAACUGAGUAAAGAAACAAAAGUACAGAUUUGUACAUUGAGGAAAGAAGGAUACAGAAAGAGAAAUUGCAAAACGCCUAAAGGUGUUUAACAAAGGAGUCCACUACACUCUGAAGAGACUAGAGGCACCUGGAAGUUAUGAUGAUAGAAAAAGACCUCGACAAAAGAGAGUUACUACAAAAGCAGAGGAUAAACAUAGCAUUGUCACCAGUAAGAGAGAUCGGCAAAAGACAGCACCAAAAAUAAGGGAGGAAAUCAACAUGACAAGGUCGAAACCCAUAUCUCUGACAACCAUGAAAUGACGUUUGAGAAAGUCUGGGCUGAAGGGUUGUGUAUCUUCAAAAUCACUACUUCGUCCACAGAACAAGAACAAGAGAUAUGAGUGGGCAAAAGCUCACAAAAAUUGGACUUAUAUAGAAACAAGUUUGCACCGUUUGGUUCAAAACGCAAAGUCUAUGUCCGCAGACAAACUGGUGAACGUCUGAAAGCACCAUGUGUUACACCCACAAUUCAGCAUGGAGGUGGUAGUUCCAUGGUAUGGGGAUAUUUUGCAGAUGAUGGAGUAAAAGAUUUGUUUGAAGUAAAGGGUAUUAUGAAGAAGGAACAGUACCACUCCAUCCUCCAGCACCAUGUUGUUCCAUCUGGACUCAGCCUUGUGGCUCACAAGUUUGUUUUGCAGCAAGACAAUGACCCUAAGCACUCUGCCAAGCUCUGUCAGGGUUACCGAGACAAAAAAAGAAGAGGAAGGUGUUCUUCAAAAGAUGGUUUGGCCUCCUCAGUCUCCAGACCUUUCUCCAAUUGAGCUUGUGCAGGAUGGAUUGGAUCGAUCGGUCAGAAAAACGCGUCCCACGAAUCAGCAGUCUCUUUUUAAUGAACAUAAGAAAGCUUGGAAUGCAAUCCCUGGAACAUACCUUAAUAUACUUGUGGAACGAAUGCCUGGUAUAAGCAAAGUCUAAGCAACAAUAACUCAAAUACCUAAUAAUUAUAGUCAAAAUGUCUUCUGAUAAGUUACUCUUUACACAAAAGUCAUGUUUAUUGUGUUGCAAAUUAUAUAUAUGAAACUAUGAUUUUUUGGUACAAAUCUGAUCUUGCUUCCAAACCUUUGGACUGUAGUGUACAUCCAACCAUCCAUCCUUCAUUGCAGCCAUUAAUUCUUUGUGUUAACCAUUACAUUCAAUUACCAUACAUCCAACCAUCUAUCUGUAUGCCAUCCAUCGAUCCAUCAAACUUUUAUCCAUCGAUCCAUUUACAUGGUAACUUCUCAUCCAUCCAUCUAACCAUCCAUCAAUCCUUCAACUGUCUUUUAUCCAUACCUUCAACCCUACAUCUGAAACUCAUGUUUCCAUCCUUUGACUCAUACAUCUUUGUCAAUAAAUAUCCAGCCAAUUACCCACCCGUAGUUCAUAUUUCCAUCUGUCAUUCCAGUGAUCCAUCCAACCAUCAGUUCACAAUCAUUCAUUAAAACAUUCAUUCAUUCAUUUAUUAUUGUGUUAUCCAUUUCACCAUACAUCAAAUAAUCCAUAGAUUUUUAACCAAUCCAUCUGUACAUGUCUGUACAUCAACUUCUUAUCCAUCCAUCCAGCCAGCCAGCCAUUAAUUCUUUGUGUUAACCAUUAAACCAUAUAUCCGUUCAUAUGUCAGUUUACAUCCAUCAUCUUUCCGUUCAUCCAACCCUCUAUCUGUAUGCCAUCCAUCAAUCAUUGAUAUUUUAUCCAUCCAUCCAUCCUUUAUCCCUUAACUGUUGUUUUCCAUAAGCACAUGUUUUCCAUGUGAACAAUAAUAAGCUGAAUUUGCUGUCCUCAGUCCAGAAACAAUGUAUAAUUUUGGCAUGAAAUCUAUGUCAUCUAAGUUAGACAAAUCAAGCUCCACAGUUGUUGUCGUAUGUGAAAUUUCCUGACCCAGUCACAGAUCAUAAACUAACACCUGUUUAUACCAGCACUAAGCCCAGGUUCCAAUCACUGGCCACAUGUGGCGUCUUUUGUCCCCUGCUCACUGUCAUACUCUACCAUACAUGCAUACACACACACACACACACACACACACACACAGCUUGUGUGUUGUUUACCUAAUGCAUCAGUGUUACAUUUGAGCAUGUUUAUGAAAUGCCCUCACGAACACUCGAUUAGACACACACAUGCCUGUGCGUGGGUGUGUGUGUAACUUGUGUGUCUGUGUGUAUCUGUGUUUUCAUUUGUGUGCGUGUGUGUGUAAAGUAUUCGACCCCUGGCUCUCAGCAGAGGCCAGUGUCUGUUGUGGAGCCCUCUAAUGGACGCCCAGCUGGAGUCAGGCACAUACACACGGGCAGCCAAGGUCAGAGCCACUGCCUCUCAGGACCCCAUCAUUUGGCAGAGCUCUGCAGCCUGCAGUCCAUGUGUGUGUGUGUGUGUGUGUGUGUGUGUGUGUGUGUGUGUGUGUGUGUGUGUGUGUGUGUGUGUGUGUGUGUGAAGCUCUGUCAGUGUUAUGUGUUUGAAUGAAUAUGUGUGUAUUUUUGUGUGAAAUAUUGUAUUUAUUUGUGUGGGUGAGUUUUUGCUUCGAAAAGUAGGAACAACGUGGGUGCAUGUCAGGUCAAGUACCACACACUCAUAUUCUCUCUCUCUCUCUCUCUCUCUCGCUCUG